rnacentral:sRNA from 1 species
UCGCGUUCCUCGGGAUUGGAGCGUAAAGUGGGUGGUAAAUUUCAUCUAAGGCUAAAUAUGGGUUCGAGACCGAUAGCAAACAAGUACCAUGAGGGAAAGAUGAAAAGGACUUUGAAAAGAGAGUUAAAAGUGCCUGAAAUUGCUGAAAGGGAAGCGAAUGGAACCAGUGCUCUUGGCGAGAUUGUUGUGCGCUAUGGUGAUUGCUGGCUGCUUCAGCGCAAGCGGGGUAGUUGGUACUGAGCCUGCCGCGCGCAGUGUUUCUUACCUUGUGCGUCACCGUCGGUUCACAGGCGAGGAUACUUCUGAGGACAUGGUAACUCUUCCACGGAGGUGUGAAUGUCUUUGGUAAUACUCGUUUGUAGACCGCUCACCUUCGGGUUACGAUGACUAAAUGGUUCUAUUCGACCCGUCUUGAAACACGGGACCAAGGA